rnacentral:rRNA from 1 species
GAUCUUGGUUCAGGAUGAACGCUGGCGGCGGUGCUUAACACAUGCAAGUCGAACGAAGCAACUACCUGCUUGCAAGAGAGUGACUUAGUGGCGGACGGGUGAGUAACGCGUGGGUAACCUGCCUCAUACAGGGGGAUAACAGUUGGAAACGACUGCUAAGACCGCAUAACCCGCUAGUGUCGCAUGACACGGACGGAAAAUAUUUAUAGGUAUGAGAUGGGCCCGCGUCUGAUUAGCUAGUUGGUAAGGUAACGGCUUACCAAGGCGACGAUCAGUAGCCGACUUGAGAGAGUGAUCGGCCACAUUGGGACUGAGACACGGCCCAAACUCCUACGGGAGGCAGCAGUGGGGAAUAUUGGACAAUGGGGGAAACCCUGAUCCAAGCGACGCCGCGUGAGUGAAGAAGUAUUUCGGUAUGUAAAGCUCUAUCAGCAGGGAAGAUAAUGACAGUACCUGACUAAGAAGCCCCGGCUAACUACGUGCCAGCCGCUGC